ACAUCGGUAGCACAGUGGUCAGUGCAGUCUGCGCCGGAAACAGAAAGACGCGGGUUCAAUUCCCGUCCGAUGUC
rnacentral:tRNA from 1 species